ACACGUAGGGGGCGAGCGUUGUUCGGAAUCAUUGGGCGUAAAGGGCGUGCAGGCGGUCCUGCAAGUCCGGCGUGAAAGACCCCGGCCCAACCGGGGGGACGCGCUGGAAACUGCGGGGCUUGAGUACAGGAGGGGAUGCCGGAAUUCCAGGUGUAGGGGUGAAAUCUGUAGAUAUCUGGAAGAACACCAAUGGCGAAGGCAGGCAUCUGGCCAUGUACUGACGCUGAGACGCGAAGGUGCGAGGAGCAAACAGGUUUAGAUACCCUGGUAGUCCGCACAGUAAACGAUGUGCACCAGGUGGCGGGGGGUCGACCCUCGGUACCGUAGCUAACGCAUUAAGUGCACCGCCUGGGGAGUAUGCUCGCAAGGGUGAAACUCAAAUGAAUUGACGGGG
rnacentral:rRNA from 1 species